UGGGGCGUCGUCAAGCGGUAAGACAGCAGAUUUUGGUUCUGCCAUUCGUAGGUUCGAAUCCUACCGCCCCAUCCA
rnacentral:tRNA from 1 species